CAGAGAUCACUGUGAAUGUAAAAUAAGUUGUGAGCUAAAGGCAUCUUCUGAUUUGAUUUUCUUAAAAAACCCAGUCUAUGCUGUAAAAAUCGUUGCACUUAAGAAAGAUAUUUACAAAACUGGAAUACCAGGCAAAUAUUAAUCAAAAGAAAGCUCACAAAGCUGUACUAAUAUUAGGUAAGACUUUAAGAAAGAAAGCUUAAUAGGAAAAAACUCCCUAGGGAUGGGAAACUUUCCAAACUUGAAAGCACCUAGUUACAGACUUAAAUGGACAGAAUGAUGAGAAAUGGUGAGGUCCAGCCCAUGGGGGCGACUCUACGUGAGAGAGCUGCCUGCCUUCUCAGGCACACGCACACUCAUGCGUCCGUGUCUGUGUCCAGGCCUGAGCACCAUCAGACCCAUCUUUCUGACCACAGUCAGUCAAAUCAGAAAUUAUCAGCCAAAGGAAAUACUAAACCUGGCCCCAUUGGGGUAUCGUGUGUGCAGGGCUGGCACAGCAGCACUGGCUGGAGGUGGUCCUCAUGCCCACCAAGAGGCUGCUAACCCACAAAAGGCACAGACACCCCAACACAGGGGCGCUGAGGCCUGUGUUCUAAGGUGGAAAACUGCAGGAUGAAGGCGACCACCAGAGAAUGAGGGAGAUUAAACACGAGAGGUGGAGGGUGGAUCAGGAGUUCCAGAAGGUGACACCCAGAGACAAGGAAGUUUCCCUGAGCAGAAGGAAGUCCAGGGUCCUCAGGACGGAAGGUGGAACCCAAAUGACAACAAGAAUAAUGGAAGAGAUGAAUUCCCGGAAAUCUCUGAACUCCCAGGAUAAAGAGAAAUCCUACAAAACUCCAAAACGGGGAAAGCACGACUCAGCUCCAGAGGAAAGGGAUGGGCCUGUACCGGGAGCGACUUGAAACGGGGGAGCGCAGACCUGGUCAGCAUGGCUGGCUGAGAGCUUCUCCGAGACAGUGGCUGAUCACGGCGGCAUCUCUCAGCAGCUUACUGAGCUUGUCUCCCUCGGGAGAAAGUGGGCUUGAGCCCAGUCGUCCUGGGAAGCCUGCUCCUCGGGCGAGUCUCGGGGCGAGGGCCAAGACCACCAGGCAGCGCUGGGGAGCAGGGUCAGGGGAGCACACGGGCCACUCAGAUGGAUGAGAGCAGAGGUGGUCAGACGCACAACCUGCUUAGUCAGCUGCUGUUCUGAGAUGCAGCCCCUCUGAACUCCCUGUUGAACAAAAACUGGGGGCUGCAGCCCAGUCUGGUUCCCAGGAGCAUCGAGUGUCAGCAUCCAGACAUAAGAGGGCGUCCAGUCGGGAAAGGGUGUGCAGACGGGAGAGGGCAUGCAGAUAGGGGAGGGCAUCCAGUCAGGAGAGAGCAUGCAGACAGGGGACAGUGUGCAGACAGGGGAGGGCAUCCAGUCAGGAGAGAGCAUGCAGACAGGGGACAGUGUGCAGACAGGGGAGGGCAUCCAGUCAGGUGAGAGCUUGCAGACAGGGGAGGGCAUGCAGUCAGGGGAGGGCGUGCAGACAGGGGAGAGUGUGCAGACAGGGGAGGGCAUGCAGACAAGAGAGGGCAUGCAGACAGGGGAGGGCAUCCAGUCAGGGAAGGGCGUGCAGACAGGGGAGGGAGUCCUGUCAGGGAAGGGCGUGCAGUCAGGGGAGGGAGUCCAGUCAGGGGAGGACGUGCAGACAGGAGCAUUCAGGCCAGGAGCAGUCUCGGGGCUUGGGUGGCUUAUACUUCUCUCAUUUGUUUUUCUUUUUCCUUUCUAACGCUUACUGUUAAAGGAGCACAAUUUUAUCAGUUCACCUGAGUGACUGAGGCUUAUCUUUCUUUUUUUUUCCCCAAAGCCCCCCUGUGCGUAGCUGUAUAUUCUAGUUGUGAGUGCCUCUAGUUGUAGCAUGUGGAACGCUGGCUCAGCACGGCCUGAUGAGGGCACCAUGUCUGCACCCAGGAUCUGAACCAGUGGACCCUGGGCCACCAAAGCAGAAGGCGCAAACUUCACCACUCGGCCCUGGGGCCGGCCCCCAAGGAAAGCUUAUCUUAAAAGUUAUGAGGAAAAGUUACUUGAAUUUAGAAUUCUGUACCCAGCCAAAUUACCAUUCGAGGGUAGGGAAACGAAGACCAGGCUGAUGUGCAGAACUCGGAGGGCGUAGCACGUGCACCCCUCCCCAUGGCCACGGAGGGUGGCCACAGAAGCACGUGGGCUCCAGGGGGAGGAGGACUGGAUAAGGCAACCGUGUGUGCAGAGGCCCACACAGCACACAUUUUUGUCAAAUCUAAACAAUCGUCAACAUUGUGUCAAAACUCUAGGAAAAACAUUAGGCAAUAAUUCUUAGAAUAAAAGUCGUGUAAAAUAAAAUUAAAAAUGACCAGCAGUGAUUGGGAACAAACUUUAUAUGACUUGAACGAAUUCUGGAAGGUGGCAGGUAGUGAUUGGCAGAGGGGAGUCAGAAAACAACAGAAUAAAGCCUUGCCUUGUUCUGAGACAUCAGGGAUACUGAUUAAUCCCACACACUGACACGAAAUGCAGAUAUAGACACGUCUGAAAAUUCAGGAGCAGCUACUAGAGGAACACAGAGAGACAUUUCCAAACCUCUAGAGGAGAAAAAGUCAAGGAAGAGCCAACCCUGACAGGAGGGUCUGAAGAGGGGAGAAUGCGCACCACAGCCGUCGGGUCCAGCCCCGGAAACCAGCGCCACGGCUGGCGGAGCCUCCUGAGCAGCCGAGGGGCCUGAAACAUGGCCCUAAAUGCAUCCGACCAAACGGACUAAGGCCCAAGUGAAGGGCCAGGAAAAAGCUUUCAGAAAACAACGCUU
ensembl:lncRNA